UACGUAGGGAGCAAGCGUUGUCCGGAAUCAUUGGGCGUAAAGCGCGCGUAGGCGGCCUCAUAAGUCCGUUGUGAAAGUCAAAGGCUCAACCUUUGAAAGCCGAUGGAUACUGUGAGGCUAGAGUCCGGAAGAGGCGAGUGGAAUUCCUGGUGUAGCGGUGGAAUGCGCAGAUAUCAGGAGGAACACCAAUAGCGAAGGCAGCUCGCUGGGACGGUACUGACGCUGAGAAGCGAAAGCAUGGGGAGCGAACAGG
rnacentral:rRNA from 1 species